rnacentral:rRNA from 1 species
GAACUUAGCAGAGAUGCCUUGGUGCCUUCGGGAACUCUGAGACAGGUGCUGCAUGGCUGUCGUCAGCUCGUGUUGUGAAAUGUUGGGUUAAGUCCCGNAACGAGCGCAACCCUUAUCCUUUGUUGCCAGCGGUUCGGCCGGGAACUCAAAGGAGACUGCCGGUGAUAAACCGGAGGAAGGUGGGGAUGACGUCAAGUCAUCAUGGCCCUUACGGCCAGGGCUACACACGUGCUACAAUGGCGCAUACAAAGAGAAGCGACCUCGCGAGAGCAAGCGGACCUCAUAAAGUGCGUCGUAGUCCGGAUUGGAGUCUGCAACUCGACUCCAUGAAGUCGGAAUCGCUAGUAAUCGUAGAUCAGAAUGCUACGGUCGAAUACGUUCCCGGGCCUUGUACACACCGCCCGUCACACCAUGGGAGUGGGUUGCAAAAGAAGUAGGUAGCUUAACCUUCGGGAGGGCGCUUACCACUUUGUGAUUCAUGACUGGGGUGAAGUCGUAACAAGGUAGGCGUAGCGAG